rnacentral:lncRNA from 1 species
UUCAAAACAUUUAGACAGUGUACUAGCAUAAUAUUAUAAGCAAAACAUUUCUUGCAGAAAAUAAUAAUUAGCAUUCAGUACUUAAAUUUAGGAAUAGUAAUACUGAAUGAUGGGCUGUGUGCAAAAUCCAAACUUUGACUGGGAAAAUUGUCUUAAGAAGCUCAUCGAGCUCAAGCAAAGAAGGCACAUCAUCAUCAGAGGUGAUACCACCUCAAAUAUCUAAGAAGAUACAGGUGUCUACAUCGUGUGCCCAUUCAUCUAAUACAUAACGACAUGCGAGUGAUGUUAAUCAAGAUCCUGGCCCUAGAGUUCAGUUCAGAAGAAAGGAAUAAAACCAGCAUUCAAGGCGUUGAAAGCUCAUCAGUGUAUGGUUGAAGAUGUCCUGAUAUCACCACACCCUCAUCAAGCAGCAACAGCGUGCGACAUCAACAAAGAGAUUAGUUUGAAUUGGUUAUACUUACAGCUUUAUUCUAAUUUCAUUCAGACUGACUUAUUGCUAAAAGAUACCGAUAUUUGAGUGUGAUUAUAUAGAACAUAGAUCAUUGGCCGUAGAUCCUCUCGACUCUGUUAGUGUCAAUUCCUCACCUAAUAACCGUUAUUGCUCGCCUCUUGACGCUGUUAUAGUGUUAACUCUCUACCUAAUAACCGUUAUUGCUCGCCUCUCGACGCUGUUAUAGUGUUAAAUCUCUAUCUAAUACCGUUUUUGCUCGCCUCUUGACGCUGUUAUAGUGUUAACUCGCUGCCUAAUAACCGUUAUUGCUCGCCUCUUGACGCUGUUAUAGUGUCAACUCUCUAUCUAACAACCGUUAUUGCUCGCCUUUUAGUGUCAACUCUCUACCAAACAACCGUUAUUGCACUAGUAAAAAAAUAUUAACUCUUGGCUUACGCGAAGUAAUAGGACAGUUGGUAGUUUAUUGCUACUAUCUAUUUCAUUUAGACAUUAAAAAUAUAGCUAUUUUCUGCAUUGCAUUACUUGCUCCUAUAUAGGCUGGCAGAUGCCAUUUAAAAUCGCAAUGAACAUUCAUAUAAUAGUUUAUAUUCGUUGCAUGUUUUGAGAUAUUGAUGCCGGAUUAUAGGAAUGGUUCAAAGCCGUUCUUUUUUUACUUUUGAACGUUCGAUUGUGAUGUUUUUUUGAAAAUAGGUUUAUUAAUUGGUAAUACUUACAGCUGAAUUCUAGUUUUAUUCAAAUACGGAUUUAUGAGUGUGAUUAGACCAUAGAUCAUUGGUCUCGAUUUGUAUCAUUUCGUAGUUUAAUAUUAACAAAUAAAAAACUUUUCGUA